AUGAUCCACCAAGCUAUACUUAUAAUGCAUAUGCCCAUGCAGGUUCUCGACUUUGCUGCUUUCUCUGAACCUGAAUACGAUCUUCCUAUAUUUUGUGCCAACGCUUUUACGACUCCUGCACAGAGUAUCGUUGUCUUGGACCUCAAUCCGCUAUACGAUAUAACUGAAGACAAGGAUUACAAAGAUAAAUACUACAGGAAUUUGAUGCCCCUUAUGCAGAAGUAUAGUGAGCUUCUGCCAUGGGGUGGCAAGAUUACGAGCGAAUCUCUGAGAUUCUUCUCUCCAAUCGUGAUCUGGACUAUAUUUGAGCCCACUGAACGCAACCAUCAUGUUCUAUAUUCAGCUUUGCUGGAUUACUAUAAGGUUUGGCUUCAGUUAACGGAUCAAGCAACUGAAGAGAAUGACACAACGAAAGUUGUUCGUAACAGAGAAGCGCAACAUAGAUAUCUCACAUGGAGGGCUGAAAAGGAUCCUGGGUUUCCACUUCUGAAGAAGUUGAUUGGUGAAAGCCAUGCCAAGGAUUUGGUGACGGAGUUCCUGUUCGAAGGAGUGUAUUCUCUUGGAAGUAAAUCUUUCCUGGACUAUUUCCCCGAGUACGCGCGUGACGACGGGACAGUAAACAAGAAGAGGAGUAUGAUCGGGAAAUCUUUCGAAGCUAGGCCUUGGGAUGCUACCGGAGAAUUCAUUGGUGGCAAGGAUGCAGGAUGA
rnacentral:rRNA from 1 species